UUAAACAAAACAGUGAUUGAUAAGGCAAUGCGAUGUGUGUAGAGCAUAUUGUUAACGGUGAAUAGCGACAAAUAGCAAUAAGGUACCUAAAUGCUACAUAGCGAUAAAUAGCGGGCGCUAUUUUGUAAAGGCAAAAUUGGAUUUAAAUAAUCCCAGCUUUCUCAAUUUGGCCGAUAAUAAUCCCAACUCAGUUAUUGGCCGAUAAAAAUUCGAAAUGGUCCACUUUUGGCUGAUAAUAGUCAGCCGUUAAAAAUAGCUUAACAGAGUUAAGCCUUUUUCCGAAUUACAAACUGAUGUUUUAUGGAUUUUGAUCAGAACGAGGAUAUGAUUUAAACACCCGAAUUGAAGCACUGUUUUCGCUGUUUGGAGCAGUAUUUCAAGGUAAAUUUUACAUCAAUCAACUCGUAUCCUCGUUCUAAUCAAAAGCCCUA
rnacentral:lncRNA from 1 species